rnacentral:rRNA from 1 species
GUGACGAGUGGCGGACGGGUGAGUAAUGUCUGGGAAACUGCCUGAUGGAGGGGGAUAACUACUGGAAACGGUAGCUAAUACCGCAUAACGUCGCAAGACCAAAGAGGGGGACCUUCGGGCCUCUUGCCAUCAGAUGUGCCCAGAUGGGAUUAGCUAGUAGGUGGGGUAACGGCUCACCUAGGCGACGAUCCCUAGCUGGUCUGAGAGGAUGACCAGCCACACUGGAACUGAGACACGGUCCAGACUCCUACGGGAGGCAGCAGUGGGGAAUAUUGCACAAUGGGCGCAAGCCUGAUGCAGCCAUGCCGCGUGUAUGAAGAAGGCCUUCGGGUUGUAAAGUACUUUCAGCGGGGAGGAAGGYGAURAGGUUAAUAACCUUGUCGAUUGACGUUACCCGCAGAAGAAGCACCGGCUAACUCCGUGCCAGCAGCCGCGGUAAUACGGAGGGUGCAAGCGUUAAUCGGAAUUACUGGGCGUAAAGCGCACGCAGGCGGUCUGUCAAGUCGGAUGUGAAAUCCCCGGGCUCAACCUGGGAACUGCAUUCGAAACUGGCAGGCUGGAGUCUUGUAGAGGGGGGUAGAAUUCCAGGUGUAGCGGUGAAAUGCGUAGAGAUCUGGAGGAAUACCG